GGGGACUCCUUUUUUCCCUCCAUUUGAUGAUACGUCGUCAAUCACAACAAAAGCUCACCAACAGACACUGUGUUAUUGUAACUGCUGUUGGAUGUGAAAUUUCACACAUUGUCUCGUUACAUAAUCACCGGAAACGAAAUUUGAUGGACAUCCAGGUGAGGAAUAAGCAAUUCAGAGGGAAAAAGAACGUGCAGGAAAUGAAUCAAACUGUCAACAAAACCUCCCCUCGUCUUUAAACAAAAA